CCUUAUCGAGAGCGGCUGAGGGAAUAGGCCCGAUGAAGCCCGGCAACCUGUUACGGGGAAUCGUACAAGGUGCCAAAUCCUACAGGAGCAGGACCCUCCUGAAAGAUGAGG
rnacentral:ncRNA from 1 species